rnacentral:rRNA from 1 species
AGUGAACGCUGGCGGUAGGCCUAACACAUGCAAGUCGAACGGCAGCACAGUAAGAGCUUGCUCUUACGGGUGGCGAGUGGCGGACGGGUGAGGAAUACAUCGGAAUCUACUUUUUCGUGGGGGAUAACGUAGGGAAACUUACGCUAAUACCGCAUACGACCUACGGGUGAAAGCAGGGGAUCUUCGGACCUUGCGCGAUUGAAUGAGCCGAUGUCGGAUUAGCUAGUUGGCGGGGUAAAGGCCCACCAAGGCGACGAUCCGUAGCUGGUCUGAGAGGAUGAUCAGCCACACUGGAACUGAGACACGGUCCAGACUCCUAAGGGAGGCAGCAGUGGGGAACAUUGGACAAUGGGCGCAAGCCUGAUCCAGCCAUACCGCGUGGGUGAAGAAGGCCUUCGGGUUGUAAAGCCCUUUUGUUGGGAAAGAAAAGCAGCAGGUUAAUACCCCGCUGUUCUGACGGUACCCAAAGAAUAAGCACCGGCUAACUUCGUG